AGCAGCCGCGGUAAUUCCAGCUCCAAUAGCGUAUAUUAAAGUUGUUGCAGUUAAAAAGCUCGUAGUUGAAUUUCGAGAUCAAAUUGUUGGUCGUGCCUUGGUACGCACUGGCAUUAUUGGUUUCUCCCUUCUGAAGAACCAUGAUGUCAUUAAUUUGGUGUCUUGGGGAAUCAGGACUGUUACUUUGAAAAAUUAGAGUGUUUAAAGCAGGCUCGCGCUUGAAUACAUUAGCAUGGAAUAAUGAAGUAGGACGUUUGAUUCUAUUUUGUUGGUUUCUAGGAUCGACGUAAUGAUUAAUAGGGAUAGUUGGGGGCAUUAGUAUUC
rnacentral:rRNA from 1 species